rnacentral:lncRNA from 1 species
GGAUUACAUUGAAUCUACAGAUGAAUUUGGGGAAAAUUAACAUCUUGAUAUUCUGAUCAAGGAACAUGGUAUAUCUCUCCAUUGAAUUUUGGAUCAUCUUUUAUUUCUUUCAGUAAUAAGUUGUUUUUACUGUAUAGCUCUUGCACAGAUUCUUUUAGAUUUAUCUUUAAAUAUUUAAUGUUUAGCAUUGUUUUUAAAAAUAAUUUCCAAUUGUGUGUUGCUAAUAUAUAAAUUACAUCUAGAUAAAGAUUUUAAUUUUUUUAGGUCUUAUGGGUUAUUUACAUGUGUGCCUCCUGUUUGAUCAGACAGCAUACCUUGCAUAAUUAAAAUACUUGAAGAAUUACUGAGAUUUAUGUUAUGGCUCGAAAAAUGGCCUAUGUUGCCGGGCGCGGUGGCUCACAUCUGUAAUCCCAGCACUUUGAAAGGCCAAGGCGUGUUGAUCACGAGGUCAGGAGUUCGAGACCAGCCUGACCAACAUGGUGAAACCCCAUGUCUACUAAAAAUACAAAAAUUAGCUGGGCAUGGUGGCGUGAGCCUCUAAUCCCAGCUACUCAGGAGGCUGAGGCAGGAGAAUCGAUUGAACCCGAGAGGCGGAGGUUGCAGUGAGCUGAGAUUGCGCCACUGCACUCCAGCCUGGGCUACAGAGCGAGACUCGUGGAAGGAAGGAAGGAAGGAAGGGAGGGAGGGAGGGAGGGAGGGAGGGAAAGAAAGAAAACACUCUUAUAUUUUGGUGAAGUGUUCUAUAAAUGUCAAGUUAAGAAGGUUGAUAAUGUUUAAAUCUCCUAUAUCCUAUAGCUCUUUCUGUAUACUUAUCAUUUUAGUAUGAUAUCAUUUUAAUAGAAUCUCUGACUAUAGGCCGGGCGCGGUGGCUCAUGCCUAUAAUCUCAGCACUUUGAGAGGCGGAGGAGGGUGGAUCAAGAGGUCAGGAGAUCAAGACCAUCCUGGCUAACACAGUGAAACCUCGUCUCUACUAAAAGUACAAAAAAUUAGCCAGGCGUGGUGGCGGGCACCUAUAGUCCCAGCUACUCGGGAGGCUGAGGCAAGAGAAUGGCGUGAACCUGGGAGGUGGAGCUUGCAGUGAGCUGAGAUCGCGCCACUGCACUCCAGCCUGGGCGGCAGAGCGAGACUCCGCCUCAGAAAAAAAAAAAAAAAAAAAAAAAAAGAAUCUCUGACUAUAAAUGUGGAUUUUUCUCUUUCUCUGUUCGGUUCUCUUAGAUGAUGCUUCGUGUAUUUUGAAGCUCUGUUAUUAGGGGCAUAGAUGUGGGACUUGGUUUAUAUCCAUUCUGAUAAUCUAUGCCUUUUAAUUGGGGUGCUUAGACCAUUUAUAUAUACUGCAAUUAUUGAUAUUAGUGAGUUUAAAUCUCCCAUCUUGCCCUUUAUUUGCUACUUUUCUCAUCUGUUUAUUGCCCCUUCUCUUUUUUUUUCUGCUUUGUCUUGGAUUGAUUAUUUUUGUUAUUCCAUUUUGCCUUCUUUAUUGGAUUAUUUAUUAUGCUCUGGAAGUUUUAACAUUUUCUCUUUAUGUUUGAUUUUUUUUUUUUGAUGAUCCCAGAUGCCUUGGGUGGUUGGUGGUAAUCAUUUCUUGAGGUUGGGGCUAGGAAUCCAGAAUAUCAUUUUGGAUAUUUUGACUUUGAAAUGGUCACUAGACAUUCAAGUGGAUAUUGAGGGAGGCAGUUGAACGGAGAAGUCAAGAGCUCAGAGAGAGGUCAUGGCUACAGAUAAAAUUUGG